UCCUUACCGUGCAAAGGUAGCAUAAUCAUUUGCCUAUUAAUUGUAGGCUAGAAUGAAUGGAUAAACGAGAAUAUACCUGUCUCCUUUAAGCCAGUAAAAAUUUAUUUUUAAGUGAAGAAGCUUAAAUCCCUAUGCAGGACAAGAAGACCCUAUAGAGCUUUACCCUACAGCUAUAACCAUAAUAACCCGGGGUUCGGUUGGGGCGACCAGGGGACAUUUAUCACCCCUAACUAUUAAGACCUACUAGUCGUCACAAAGAUCCUUACACAAGAUCAAUGAAUCAAGCUACCUUAGGGAUAACAGGCUAAUCCCCUUAGAGAGCCCUUAUCGACAAGAGGGGUUGGCACCUCGAUGUUGGCUUAGGACUUCUUCA
rnacentral:rRNA from 1 species